GAUGAAGAACGUAGCGAAAUGCGAUAAGUAAUGCGAAUUGCAGAAUCCGUGAGUCAUCGAAUCUUUGAACGCACAUUGCGCCCUCUGGUAUUCCGGAGGGCAUGCCUGUCUGAGCGUCAUUGUCAACCCUCAAGCUCAGCUUGCUGUUGGGUCCCCGUCGUUGCUUUAACGGCGGACCCGAAAGGUAAUGGCAGAGUCCGUGAGACCCUAGACGCAGCGAGCUUCUAGCACGCGUCUGGACGUUUUUCGGGCUCGGUCUUAACUAGAUGAUAACUUCCGAUUGACCUCAGAUCAGGUAGGGAUACCCGCUGAACUUAAGCAUAUCAAUAAGCGGAGGA
rnacentral:misc_RNA from 1 species